rnacentral:lncRNA from 1 species
UUUAUUUAUACUUUCAUUAAAUAUAACAUAAGAUUUUGUGGUAUCCACUAAUGUAAAUAUUUUAAAUUGAAGAUCAAAUUCAGUCAUUGUAUUCAUAUAGGGUCAAGGAGUGUAGCUGUAAAAAAUCAUCAAAAUCGGAGUUAAUUUAACCGUUAAAUCGUGAUUUUUCAUUUAUAACCGUCGAAUAGUUAUGUCCCGUUACUUGAUCU